UUUUGGUUUCAACUUUGUCGAGAGAAGACACGCGAAAAGAGUAACACGUCGUUUUGUUUUCUGCCUUUUUGUGUGUGUGUGUGAUGUCUUUUAUUUCACCUUAAAAACGAAACGCGUGUCAUUCUUAUCGUGAUUAUACAGAAAGGCAGAAUGCAUGCGAAAUUGUACAUGUUUCAAAGUGAAUAUUUGCUGUAGCUGCUGCCAAAAUUGGUGCCUUAUCCGGUUUCUUCUAUACCUUCAUUUGGUUAUAUACUAAAUAACAUGGCAAAUUUAAACGUAUAUAGAAUAUAGCAGCAAACCCCAAGAAAGAAGACGUAUACGUGAUGGGAAUCCCGAGAGAAGCAGACGAAUGUUUUGCUUCAGUGUCUUGAACAAAGUGAUGUAUAACUGUCGUGCGCAUAUAGAGCCAAAAGAAAAUACAUUGGCGGUUUUUA